UGGGGAAUAUUGCACAAUGGGGGAAACCCUGAUGCAGCGACGCCGCGUGAGCGAAGAAGGCUUUCGAGUCGUAAAGCUCUGUCCUAUGAGAAGAUAAUGACGGUAUCAUAGGAGGAAGCCCUGGCUAAAUACGUGCCAGCAGCCGCGGUAAUACGUAUGGGGCGAGCGUUGUCCGGAAUUAUUGGGCGUAAAGGGUACGUAGGCGGUUUUUUAAGUCGGGUGUCAAAGCGUGGAGCUUAACUCCAUUAAGCACUUGAAACUGAAAGACUUGAGUGAAGGAGAGGAAAGUGGAAUUCCUAGUGUAGCGGUGAAAUGCGUAGAUAUUAGGAGGAAUACCGGUGGCGAAGGCGACUUUCUGGACUUUUACUGACGCUCAGGUACGAAAGCGUGGGGAGCAAACAGG
rnacentral:rRNA from 1 species